AGACCAGUAAUAUCUGAAUAUGAAUAAUUGCAAUAAUCGAUAAGAUAUAUAUAUAUCAAUUCAUGAAUGAAUUCUAGCAUCGAUAGAUCGUAACUUACUUUUAUGAGACUAGGAAUACUGUUCGUUAACGGAUGGGGUUCAGUAUCGUGGGAUCCUAUCUGAAAUCAAAUCAACACGCAAACUUUGAAAUAUCGAGAAAAAUCUUGAUCCUCUCGAAUUGUUAAUUAUUAUUUCCUUCGUUAAAAAUUUUCUUCUUUUCCAUUAUUUUUCCUUCCCUCCCUCCCUCCCCCCUCCUUCCCCUCCUCCCUCCGUAUUUUUUAACAAUAUUGCUAAUCAAUUUUGCAACGUACUACUGUCUCGCUAUCACGUUCAAAACGUGACAAUGGCUUGUGAAAUUCAGCGUAUUCCCGCUGAACUUUGGCCCGCCGACGUGCACGGGCCGAUUCUUUUAAAUUUUUUUGUAUAUUCCCAUCUUGAUAUUUCGAGUUUUGCAUUCGUACUCGACUAAGUAUCGCUUGGUUUUAUACGGUGUGGAAUUGUUGUAUAACCUAUACAUGUUAGGAACACGGCAAAGAGACAAACGAAUCUGAAGUUGAGGCGUAACAGCGAAAUAAGAUGAAUUUAUUUCUCUUCUUUGAUAACGUUAUUCCGAAUCUCGAUAACAUUUUCGAUCAAGACGAUAAUUUUCUAAAUUCAGCUUGAAAGAAUAUCGUCGUAGAUGACUUUUUGUUUCUUUGUUUGUAUCUUUCUUGUUAUUUUUUUUUUUUCUUCGAGAUGAAGAUUGUCCAAUCAAACGUUGGAUACGCAUCGUGCCUUUUAUUCUGAGCGCAUGAAACGUCCCCAAGUACAUAGGUACAGUUUGAUCAAGAGAUGUUGAAAUGAAUCUCGAAUCAUCCUCAAUCAUCUCUUUCGAACGCGUAUCUUGAACAAAGGGGCAUGCUUGCGCAAUGAUGAAACACGAAGAAACUUUGUUGAGAGGGAAACUUUUUCGUAAUCGUCAUUAAAAAAAAAAAAAAAAACGGGAAGAAAAUUAUAAAUUCAAAAUUUUAAAUGGAAAGAUCAAUUGCAAAAAUAUUUCAAUUUGUAAAUAUUGUAUACACAUCUAUUGUAAUCGCAAUAAAAAUUGUUGUUGUACGAUUGUAUCAUUUACUGCCACGAAAAAAAAAAAAGAACGAAGACGAUAAACCGAUAAAAACAAUCUAUAUAACUAAUCUAUAUAUAACCAGUUUACCGUUUCGUAAUGCAAUUUAUUCAUUAUUCCACGAUACGAAAAUACGAAUAUAGAAAAAACAAAGACCUAGUACGAGGCGAGCAGCACUUCAUCAUCUACAAUGAUCCUCUUUCGAAUUGACGAAUAAAUCGACCACAGCAGUAACGAAAUUCUAAGACGAAUAAAAAAAAAGAAAAAAAUUAUUAUUGCUCGUGAUUAACAAAAAAAAAAAACAAAAAUAUGUUGCAAUAUAUAUAUAAAUAUACAUCGAAAUUUACGAAAUGGAUGAACAAAUUUACAAACGAAUAAUAAAUUUCACAGAUCGAUAUUGCGAUCGAUUCUUUCAUAUAAAUGGAUCUUUAAUCGAUUUGGAAAGAUAGCGGAUCGUACUAAGAAACUUUCAAUUACGUUUCACACAACUUUUCUGGUACCUGUGUCACCGACACAAGCGACGGAGGUAUCUCGUUUACGUGUAUCUUGUCAGUCUUCCAUUUCCUUCGAAACGGUUUACACAAUAUGUUGGAGAUCCAAUUGUACCACGAUAUAGAUUUCUCCUCCUCUUCGAUCGAGAUAUAGAUCGGUUUCUGCGUCGACCUCCUCUUAAUCGUUUCCUCCUCUUGGUUAUACAUUAUUAUUAUUAUUAUUAUGAAGAUAACAGAAAAUUAAAAUUAAUUGACACAAAAAACGUGGAUGAUGGACGAGGCACUAAUAUAGAUCGAUUCGAUCAAUAAAAACGAUGAUCAAACAUAAUUAAUAGUGAAUCGGUUCGUUCGAUAUUUUUCAAAGGAGAAAAAAUGAUUAAAAAUCGUGUCCCUCAUUGUUCAUCGAUUUGGGUUUUGAACUUGGAACGAUGAAAGAAGUGACAUGUUCGACGAUGCAAUUUGACGAGAUUGAUAAGUUUACGGAAAAACGUCCAUCGCGAUACUGAAUCUAUAUUAUCAUUGUUGGGAAGAUUAUUCCUCUUUAUUAUCUAUCUACUCUAGCAGCGGAACAUGUCCACGAUAAGAAAUUUCUUUCAACAAGAGAUCAUCUCCGUCAGAUUAUCAAUAGUAAGAAUUAGAUAAUAACUCGGUCGUCACAAGCAGAUGAUUAAUUAUAAAUAAAGCGAUAUCGUUUUUUUCUUUUUGUUUAUCGAAUUGUUGAAAAAUAUAUCCAACCAGAUAUCAUUGUAAUUUUUCACGAUAACAAUUGUCGAUCUAUAAAAAUUUUAUGCCAUUUUAGAGAAAGAAGCUUGCCAUUUUUAAAUAUUAUCGAUUAAUUCGAAAAUAAUUUCGAAGAAGAAAAACUCGUAUACAACGAACUCUCUCCCCUCGUUGAACUGAAUUUCCAAUGAUGAAUAGUGUAUGCUUCCAAAGUACAAGAGAAAAAAAAGUCUCUGAAUUGAAAGAUUACCCUUCAUGAUAAAAAGAAGGAAAAAAACAGAUUCGAUAGAGAAUAUAUAACUAACAUUUACUAGUACUACGACUAACUAUAAAAUAACAAACUUCUCAGACAACAGAAGCAUUAAACGAGAAACUUUCCCUCGCUGAAUCCUACCUUUCGUUAAUUCGCACGAUAAUAUACAAACUGAGCUGAUAUAUCGCGGGAUAAAAACUUGACUAGAAAUCUAUUUUAAAAAAGCGGUCAGACUUUUAACAGACUUCAACUGUGCAUCGCGUUUAAAUCCUGACAAAUCGAUUUACGGCAAAAGAAAGGUAAAAGUACAUGAAAUAUAUGAAAGACUGAAUUUUCAUUUUAAUAAUUUGAAUAAAAUACACGGGUAAAAAUUUCACGAGAAAUAUUACGUUGAUUUCACCAGGGAAAAACAAGCAUGUACGAAAUCCCAAAUUUUUCCACAAAUUGUGCAAGAUACGAGUUCUUCCUCCUACUCCUCCUAGGUCGCUCGUUCCAAGCUCUUCCGGCUAUAGACCGUCUAUAGAUCGUCUAUAGAUAACAGCUUAUACCCUGUCCAUCUGUUUGAUCGAGCAAGAGAAGCUUUCAACGUGAGAGAAGGAUAAGAAGAAAGACGAGAGAAAGAGAGAGAGAGUGAAAUAGCGGAUGGCGUUUAAUAAUUCGUCACGAAGUGGUGAAUCGGUCAGCCUGUUCAAAUAUUUAGGACAGGUUUAGACGGCAGUGUCGUGAUGAUACUUUAGUCAAGCCCCUUCUUGAAAAUUCCAUGAAAACAUUUGAUGCAAGUUUAAUGAGAUCACUCGACACACUGCGAACGAGCCACGUGUUCGGGGAGGGGAAAAAAACAGUAUGCAAUUACUUCAACACAAUUACUUGAGGAAAGGGUUAAUUAUCGGGUAAUCGAAUGCUCGUGAGAAAGAAAAAGAAUGACGAAUCGAUUCUCCCAAUUUCGCUUCUUUCCCUUCCCCUCUUUUUUUGUUCCACAGACCUUUGAACUAGUUUUUCCCUUCCUAUUUCCUCCUGCUCAUUCGAUGAUCGAUAAGCUAAACUUUUUGGAGAAUAUUGGAGAAAUAUAUGGAGCACUGAGAUAAGAUUGAUUAAUAAUGAAUGAAGAAUUGGAAAAAUUGAAUAGAGAAGAACAUAGUACAAAAAGUAUUGAAUUUGAUUAUAAAAAUUGUUCAGUAAUUGAAUUGAUUAAUAGUUUCUUUUUUUUUUUUCUUAAUUAGAUUAGAUAAAUCAGAGAACAAGAAAGAUCGUAGCAUUACAAAAAAAAUAGAGGUCAGAGUAUAUUUAUCCGAAGUAAUUAAAUGGUUCAGAGUGAUAUAUAUAUAUAUAUAUUAAUAAAAGCGAGCAGAAAAAGAGAAGGAGGACACUUCACUGAUGGAAGAGUUUAGAGUCCAAGAAUAGCAAUCGAUCAGAGACGUUAAGAUAUAUUUGAAGUAGCUUGAAAUAGUAUCAAAACGAAUGAAUAAAAAGAAAUGAACGUAAAUGGAUUGAUUAAAAGAAAAAAAAAAAAUUAAUAACAUAUAUAAAAAUAAAAUACAUAUAAUCUAAAUAAUAGAAUGGCAAGCAUAUCCGAACGUAAUAUUAAUUAAUCGUUUACCAAUAUUGAAUAAUAUUGAAUUUGGAUUUGGAUUAUUAAAUUUAAUCUCAUUGGAUAUAUAUACAUUUUGAAAAUUCAUAGAAGUAGCGAUGAAUUGCAUCUAUUCAAUUGCCUCUUAUAUAUCCUUAUGAAAAAUUCAAAAGUGGUACAUUGUUUGUCAAUUUUUAUCUUCGAUUGAAACCACGAGAAAUCAAAUAUAACGCGAUACGGCGAGAUACUUUUAAAUGUCAUUUGUCGUUUUACAACGUUCUACCGAUUACCGAUAGUAGUCCAUCCAAUAAUUAUAGUUUGCUUUCACAUCUAUCGAGAACUUUGCUAUUUUUAACGUUAACGAGGUUGCAAACAUAGUGGAAAAUAUAUUGAACGACCUCUUUUUUUUUCUUUUUUUUUUUUAAAUUAAGAGAUUAUCCAUUCUCUCGAUUAUAUAUAUAUAUAUAUAAAAGGGACAAAACAGAAAUUUACUUACCAACGUCGAAUAAUCUGCAUUUUUUUCAUCGCCAACAUCCUCGAACGACAAUUUUCUUCCCAAAAUAUCGUACUCUGUCUUUCCUGAAAAAAAAAAAAAAUAAAUAAAUAAAUACACACAAUUGAACGAUGAUGCGUUAUUUUAAAAGAAAAAAUUUCGAAGAUAAAAAAAAAUUAAUAUCGAACAGUAUUUAUAUAAUAAUAUUUAUAUAGUGUGUCAUUCUAUUGCAAUAAAACGAGACUUUUUUUUGAAUCGAUUGCAGCAAUUAAUCGAUAUCUUUUCAAUAGUGAAAAUCGUUUAACAAUCGGAUUAAUCGAAUGGAUCGUCACGGUUUUGGUUCAAUAAAUCAACGUUGAGGCUGACAAUUGGAAAAAAUAGUAAUUUAUCAUUCAUCUUUGAUAUCGAAUGAAUUCAUUGGACUGAUUUCUUUAAAUAAGUCGUCUGUAAAAAAAAGAAAAAAAAAACAUUUUUAAUUUCUCAAUUAACUCUUCGUGUAAUACCUUUAAACGUGUUAUCGAUAAUUGAAUUAAAAGUUUUCGAUGAUGACUUUUCUUUUUUUUUUUUUUUUUUUUUGAUAAUGCUUAAUUGAAAUGGAUAAUUAAGAAAGAAUUCGAACGAAAAACUUUAUAAAAAGAAAUGGAAAGAGGAUGUGUGAACGAGGUCGAUCCUUAUCUUUCACCUUUUACGGCGGGAUCAUUCAGUGUUUAUCCGAUCGAUUCGAAUGGAAGUUCAGAAUUUAAAGUUAAUUGAUCGAAAGUAGGACGCCUUAAUUGGACAACCUGAGAGUUAAUAGGUACGAAACAAGCGUUAAAUAUUUUAAAUCGAAGCCGAGAGAAUUGUAAAUUUUUCGAGCAACAAUACAAAUUUUAUUAAUCCUUAAAUCGAUCUUCAAUUUUCUCUCCUCUUGUUGAUUUUUAAAGAAAAAUGAAACGAAUUAUUAAAAAAUAUUUGCUUAAUUUUUAUUCCGAAAAAUAAAAAAGAUGGAUAAAACAAUUUUUUCUUUCAAUCUUCUUGGUUUGUCUUCAAAAUUUUAUGACAAUAUUUCAACUAGAUUGCUAUUAAAUUUUAUUAUAAUUAUAAAAGGAUCAUAAAAUUAUUACAGAAUUUUUUUUCAAGAGAAUUACAUACCAUUGUCAAAUAUUGUGUCAUCCAAAAUAUUUUGUUCCUCGUUUGGAAAAUAAUCGUUCGAAGGAGAUGCCAUGUGAAUUUAUAAGCAGAUGAGAUUAUGGAAUCGUAGUAUCGUGAUACGAUUAUUAAAACGUAUACAAAAGUUUAAGUCGAAUCAAUAAUUGAAAAUUACAGAUCAAAGAUCGAUACAUAUUUAAAAAUCAAUCUAAUAUACGAAUAUUAACAAUAUUAUAGUGCAAAAUUAUUCCAUCGAAAAUAUGAAUUUUUUUUUUUUCAAACUAAGAAUAUGAGCUUUGAUUACAUUGCAAUCUCAAUCUUACAUCAUAUCGAUUAGAGUAUCAGCUGUUUAUUGAUUGAAUCAUAUUUACUAGAUAAGUUUAAAAAGAAUUUAAUCCAAAAAUAGGAAAAAAAAAAAAAGAAAAAUAAAGGAAAACAAGUCUGAAAAAUUUAAAAAUCUAUACACUCCACUAAAUUUUCCUUUUGAUCUCCAAUAUCUUCCAUUCCUACACUGAUCAUGCUUAUCUAUUACUCACGAUGCACUCGAAAAAUAAAUAAAUAAAUAAAUAAAUAAACUAGAAAAAUAUUCAGAAAAAUCAAUAAUAAGAAAUUCCAAUGUUUCAAAUAUUUUUAUAAACGAUUAAUAAAUGUCGAGAGAAAUCAAAAAUUGACAGAUUUAGACAGUUAAUUUGUAUUGUAACGAUGUGUUGUAACCGACUCAGAGACAACGACUGGUCGACAAAACCAAAUUGUGCAGGUUAAAAUUCUACGCGUGAGUGAGUGGCCUCAGGAACGAGAUAGGAUCGUUGGAGAAACUCGUGAUACGAUGAUCAUGUUCGUCAAACGGGAGCACGUUUCAAGGGAACACGAAUAAUGAAUGAAAAAAAAAAAAAAAAAUAUCAAAAGAAAAGUAAAAUUUUGUCGCAAAAUUUAGAGACGCCUCGUUUCUCGCAAAGCAAAAGUGCUUCGAGUUUAUGGCUGGUAUUGAAUUUGUAUUGAAUUUCUUUUCUCACUCCAUAGACAGCUUUGAAAGUAACAGUUUGAUGCGAGGCAAACAAAUUAUAUAUAUUGGUGCUAAUAAUAUUUUUUCCUUUGGCUGUUUAAAAUAUUUGCUUGAUAUAUAUACAUCAUACAUAUAUAUAUAUAUACAUGUGCCUGUUGUUUCAUUUUCUCAAAUUUGAAUGUCGAUUGGCUGAGGAAUUUAGUAUUACCAAAUGGAUCGAAAUGAAGAUUAUCAUGGAGAUUAGUUUCCUUCUGAUAAUUGUACGUUAAAAAGCGUGUAGUUUUUUUCUUUCUUUUUUUUUUUUUUUUGUAAGAUUUUAGCGCUUGUAGAAUAAUUAAAUGGAAGCCUACUAAGUUUGAGUAAAUGUGAUCGAAGAUGUAUUCGCUGAUUUUUGGUAUGUAUAGAAACGAAGAUGAUGUUUACAAUUCUUCACAAUUUCUAGAAGAAAGUCUACUAUGGUUUGAGAAAAAUUACCGAGAGAUUUUUUUUUAUUAAUUAUUAAAAAUUAUGCUUAUGAAGAAAAGAAUAGACGAAAUUAGAAAUUUUUCUUUGAACAGAAUACGCACAAAUUUAAUAAAACACUCGAUGAAACUAUGCUUCCAAACCAAAAAAUAAUGUUCAAAGCGAUAAUUCAAUAAUUGAAAAGAAUGUAUUCAAACAUAGUCGAGACCGAAUCUAGCACACUAGAUUUAAAAUUGCAAUAGCUGUUCAAAUUAUCCGAACAAAAUCAUCAUUUCAUUGCUUUCUAAAAAUGAGCAAAGGCAUUAUUGCCAUUAAUCCUAUCUGAAUUCUGUUCAGUUCUAUUAAACUGCACUUUGGAUAAAAAAGAUAUCUGUCUGUAUAAAAAGAUAAAAAUGUUGUAUGAAGUUUUGAACUUAUUCCUAUGGAUCAACUUUCAGAUCGAAAAAGUAAAAGUAAAUAUCUCCCGCAAGAUUACGUUAUCAGUUUUCGAGCAAUUUACGUAUCGUGCACAAUAUUUUUCCUUAUUCUAUUCGCAUUUAACAUGUAUAUAACUGGCCAUUGUGUUAAAUGUAAUGUGUCUCUAAAUAUGAUGUCUCUUACACUUCAUAUUACCUUUCGACUGAUUUUUCUUUUCUCAAAACUGCUAGAACCAAGAUCUCGCCAAUCUAUGAUAUAUAAAUAGUGAGCUUUGAUAUCUUUGAUUUUUUUUGUUAAUUGAGUUUCAAUAACACGAGUACAAAUGAUGAUUAACAUACGUAGCUAAUUUUGCUUGCACGCUCGCAAAAAGAAACUCCGUAUGGAAUUGCCAUCCGGCAUUAUCUGUGUCUGAUUUGCAUUCGUAACCAACACGUAUCCAAAUAUGUGUGACUCUUUUAUCAAAGAAUCAAUAUAGCGUUUUAUUCGAUAUUAUAUCUCUGUGCCAUCGAGCUUCUUGCUUACAAAAAAAAAAAAAAAAAAAAAA
rnacentral:lncRNA from 1 species